AUGGCAGUAAGACUAAUAUUUAACAAAAUACUCCAGAAAAAAAGCACACAGUGUUGCUUUGUAUCUGACUGCACUUUCUUCCUGUGAUAACAAAUCAGAAAAUACUAAAGAUGGAAUAGGCAGGCAGGUAAUAUGAAUAUGUGGAGCAGAAAUAAGGACACUUGAAAAAGAUGUUGAGACAUUGAAAGCAGUUCAUUUUUCAAGCAGUACAUUUCACAUUCUUUCAAUAGAGAUCUUGACUAUUUCUCUCUAACGAUGCCGUGAUUUCAGCUCAAUCAACAGCUAAGAUGAGAAUCUGGAAAGCAAGAAAUAUGAGGGUUGACAAGGAUGCUUGCUUCUGGAGCCUAGCUUUGUCAAGAAAAAUGCCAGACUGGUUCUUCGAUGACUUUUGCUUUGUGGAGGAAUGUUCUCCCUGCCUACUCAAAGCCACUGAGCACUCACCCUUCUGAAUUAGGACAGGAGCCAUCAGGACAAUGGGCAGAAAAAGGAGGAAUCUUCACUGUCCAGGUUAGAGACCCUAA